CAUCUGGAUAUUCUCUAAGUUUAAAGACCUGACUAGCUGAUGCCACUGUUGCCAUCCAUGAGGCUGCUUCUCUGGUGUAUGGUGGGCAUUUGUUGCCGUUUGUGUUUUGGCUGCUCCCAGCUUCCAGCACCUGUCCUCUCUGGGGCGAACUCACCCCCUUCCCCCAUGUGAUCUUGGUGGGAGGCAGGAUCCAUCAGGUCCCUGGAGUUGAAGGUGCCAGGUGCUCUUUCUCCGCACCCUGCAGAGCUUCCAGGUGUUCUCUCCUGGCCCCGGCACCUGCGGGCUCCGACCUGUGAGGGAGAAGGGACAGCAACAGAAGAGAAUGGAUUCGCAGCUCUGGCAGCGGCGCCAAGAGACCACCGUGCGGGCCGCAGUCUCAGCAGUGAUGUGGCCGUGGCUCGCCUUGGGGCCUGCUGGUGUCCCCAGCGUGGUUCCCGGCCUCCCACUGACAGUGUUUGCGAGGGUCUUCACGUCCUCUCGGUCUGGCUGCCCCUGGAGUCCGUACAGAACCGAACACCUUUUAACUGAGGAGAAGCAAUUCUGACCUCACUGUCGUCAUCAUCAUGAGUUUUCAUUUUAAAAAGUAACUCCCUCCUCAGGGGCACCUGGGUGGCUCAGUGGUUCAGAAUCUGCCUUCAGCCCAGGGCAUGAUCCUGGAGUCCCAGGAUCGAGUCCCACAUCGGGCUCCCUGCAUGGAGCCUGCUUCUGCCUCUGCCUGUGUCUCUGCCUCACUCUGUGUGUGUCUCUCAUGAAUAAAUAAAAUCUUAAAAAAAAUUAACUCCUUUACAUAUACUCUCAUUU
rnacentral:lncRNA from 1 species